UACGUAGGGUGCAAGCGUUAAUCGGAAUUACUGGGCGUAAAGCGUGCGCAGGCGGUUCGUUAGGUUCGUUGUGAAAGCCCCGGGCUCAACCUGGGAACUGCAAUGGAAACUGGCGGGCUUGAAUGCGGCAGAGGGGGGUGGAAUUCCGCGUGUAGCAGUGAAAUGCGUAGAGAUGCGGAGGAACACCGAUGGCGAAGGCAGCCCCCUGGGCCGACAUUGACGCUCAGGCACGAAAGCGUGGGGAGCAAACAGG
rnacentral:rRNA from 1 species